rnacentral:piRNA from 1 species
UGAAAGAUUUCUAAGAAAAGUUCCCC